rnacentral:lncRNA from 1 species
UUGUAGGUAUUUUCCAUUUCACUAAUUUUUUAGCCAACUAUGUGUAGUCUGUUAUGUGAACCUGGGUUUCUAAUUACAGUUUUUAUGUAUUGCAUUUUUGAAAGUUAUGCUUGAGUCCUUUGAAAGUUCACUGGCCUUUUUUCUGUUUGUUUUUUGAUAUAGUAUCUUAAUAAUACAGCUCCCAAGACCAGCUUUGAACUCCUAAUGUUCCAUACUGGCCUUGAAUUUGUGGCAGUUGUCUUUCAGCCACUCAGGUACUAAGGAUUGCAUAGUGCAGGGCCUUCUUCCUCUGGUUUUUGUGUUUUGGUUUUUUGUUUUUUAAUUCUUUGGCUUUUUGAAAGGAGGCCUCUCCAUGUAGUCCUGGUUGCUCUGCUUGAUUCACAGCCCAUGCUGGUCUGGACCCCACAGAGAUCCUCCUCUGUCUGUCUCCUUAGUGCUAGGAUUACAGGUGUGUGCCACCACGCCCUGCUAUCUGACUUACUUUUUAAUUUUUUUAAAUUAAAUUUAAAUUAUUGUUUGUAUAUGUAUGGAGAUCAGUGGAUCUUAAUGGGGGUCAGUUCUCUCCCUUUAACGUGAGUCCCAGGGUUUGAAUUCAAACUGUCGGGUUUUGGUGAAAGAUGGCACUGUGCCAUCUUAUCUGGCCCAUCUGAUUAUUUUUGAUCCAUCUCUUACUCUUUGAUCUUAAACUUGAUAUUCUUUUAUUUCUUUAAAUGUAUUUAAUAACUCAUCCAACUCCUGUUCAUCAUAACUUACUUCUUUUUGGAAAUUGUGGUUCUUAUCAUUUAUUUUUGAGCUUUCCUGUUGGUUGUAACCACAUCUGCAACAUUUCUGGGAAGAUAGUUUGUAGCCCAUAAAAUAAUGGCAAUGUAAGAUUGUAUUAAGCUAACUUACUGGUGGUUAAGAUCUUGAUUAUAAGUGAUUUCCAAGGGGUUGUCUUUUUUUUUUCUUUUAAAAAUUUAUUUAUUAUUAUAUGUAUGUGUGUAUGUAUGUAUGUAUAUAUGUACACUGUAGCUGUACAGAUGGUUAUGAACCAUCAUGUGGUUGCUGGGAAUUGAACUCAGGACCUCUGCUUUCUCUGGCCCCCCCACUUGCUCCAGCCCUACUUGGGCCAGCCCAAAGAUUUAUUUAUUAUUGUAUGUAAAGUACACUGUAGCUGUCUUCAGACACACCAGAAGAGUGCAUCAGAUCUCAUUACGGAUGGUUGUGAGCCACCAUGUGGUUGCUAGGAUUUGAACUCAGGACUUUCGGAAGAGCAGUCAGUGCUCUUAACCCCUGGAUCAUCUCUCCAGCCCCAAGGAGUUGUCUUGUAGUUAAAGAUUUUUCUUUUCUUUACCCAGAGUUAUCACUAAGAGGAAAAGUUUUCUUAUGGUUCUCCCUUAAAAAGGUGGUGGGGCACACCAAUUCCAGGGCUUAGAGGAAGAGGUUAUCAGAUCUUUGGGAGUUCCAGGGUAGCCUGAUUUUACAUAGUGAGGUUCAAGCUACUAAUAAAACUCUGUCAGUCAAACACACGUGCACACAGGCCCGCACACUGCAUCCCAUCUUUGCAGCACAGAAAAUGUUAUUUGUGCAACCUUCACUACAAACAAAACAAACAAAAAUUGGGUCCUAUCACUUCUGAACUGCCCAUUCUUUCAGAACUAGCAUGUCUGAAAGUAUGGUAGGCUUUUGUGACCACUUGUUGGCAGCUGACAAAAGAUGUUAAUGCAGCUACAUUGAUAGACAAAUGUUGUUCAGUUUGGAGUUUUGGGUUGUUUUUUCACCUAUUUUGGGGUAUGGGAGUAGGGGGCUUGUUUUAGCAAAAUUACC